GACGAACGCUGGCGGCGUGCUUAACACAUGCAAGUCGAACGGAAAGGCUCUAGCUUGCUGGGGUACUCGAGUGGCGAACGGGUGAGUAACACGUGGGUAAUCUGCCCUGCACUCUGGGAUAAGCUUGGGAAACUGGGGCUAAUACUGGAUAUGAGCUCUCUCUUCAUGGGGUGUGGUGGAAAGUUUUUCGGUGUGGGAUGGGCCCGCGGCCUAUCAGCUUGUUGGUGGGGUGAUGGCCUACCAAGGCGACGACGGGUAGCCGGCCUGAGAGGGUGACCGGCCACAUUGGGACUGAGAUACGGCCCAGACUCCUACGGGAGGCAGCAGUGGGGAAUAUUGCACAAUGGGCGGAAGCCUGAUGCAGCGACGCCGCGUGAGGGAUGACGGCCUUCGGGUUGUAAACCUCUUUCGGCAGUGACGAAGCGUGAGUGACGGUACCUGCAGAAGAAGCACCGGCUAACUACGUG
rnacentral:rRNA from 1 species